GCCGCCGCUGCUGGAGCUGCGGGGCUUGCUGGGCUGACUCGCAGAGCCCGAGCCCGCGUGGAAUGGGCCACUCAAGCCCCCGCGGCCCUCAGCCACCCUUGCCGGUGGGAGCAUUCCAACUUUGGAGUUUUUCCCUUUCUGAAGAAGCCUCUUCCUGCACUCUAGGGCGAUGUGUCCACGCAGCGUUCAGUGGCUGUCGAUUUCGGUUGGAGAAGCUCGCCAUCCCAUUUCCCACCUGUCAAAACGCCGAGGACCGAGGCGCCGUCUCACACGAUUCUUACUACAGGAAUGGAAUCCAGACCUCCAGGAGGUGGACUGGGAAAGACUUUCAGGGUUGUUCUGAAAUCCUCAACUGCAUCAUCAAUUUGGAGGGUCCAGGUGCAACUUCAGUUCAGGCUCAAACAAGGUCUCUUCCUCCUGGGGAAGCCACAGACACAUCCUUCACAAGCUCUUUCUUAAAGAGUCGCAGAGGUGGACUUCCUGUAAAAACAUAGUUCUAUGAGGCUGCAUCUUCCCUCUCCUCUUUUCUUUCCUUAGCUGCCGUUCAAAGGAAACAAACCUUUGAUCACCAAUGUCGGUGCAACUAGACGAUACCUGUGACUCAAAAAUUAAGAGAAAAUGGACAAUUGCUGCUGUUAUGGUUUGGAUAUUAGGUGUCCCCAAAAGCUCAUGUGCAAGGCAAUGCAAAAAGGUGUAGAGGUGAAGCAAUUGGUGGAGACCCUUCAGCUAAUCAGUGAAUCCAUGCCCUGCUUCCUCGUGUGAGGUCCUGAGCUGCUUUCCCCUGCCACAUUCCACCAUGAAGGGCUGCCUCACCCAGCUCUAAGGAAUGGAGUUGGCCACUGAUGGACUGAGACCUGUGAAACUGUGAGCGUCAGGUAAACUUUUCCUCCUCUAAUUAUUCUUGUCAGGUCUUUUGGUCACAGCAGCAAAAAUAAAUAAAUAAAUAAGUUGACUAAAACAGCUGCCAACAAUAAAAAGGACUGUCAUGGAAGCUUCAUGGGAGAAAGGAGCUAGAGGGACGUCCACGGAGGUAGAGCUCAGAAUGUGCCAUGAAAACCCACCUGUUAACAGGAAGUAUAUCACCUCUGUGAGACGUAGGGAAGGUGGGGCAAAGGUGCCCAGGGACCACCUGGGAGAAAGUUCCACAAAGAAACCCACAAUAGCAGCACAUCUCAGAAAGCGCCUCUGAAGGCCACGGGCUUUCUAUAAAGUGCAAAAUACAGAGAGAAGGAAGGAAGUGGUAAAGACAAGAGCAGAAAUCAAUGGCACUGAGAACAGGGGGACCAUCCAGAAAAUCAGUGAAACCAGAUGCUGGUGGCUGUGGCCUGGUUGUGACCCCCCAAAUGUCCCAAGUUAGAACUUAUUGCCCAGUGGUCAUGGUAAGAGGAGGGGGCUUUGGAGGGCUCCACCCUCCCCAGAGCCAGUGUCCCUGUAAACCAGGCUGACGGGAGUGUGGCUGUCCUUCUGCUAGUGAGGAGGCAGCAGAGAGGGGCCUUCUGGGAGAGGUGGACCCACUCCUGGUACCAUAUUUGUCAGCACCUUGAUCUCGGGCUUCCCAGCCUCCAGAACUGUGAGCUGUAACUUUCUUUAUAAUCCCCCAGGCUAAGGCAUUUUGCUUUAGAGCCUGGAGGGACUGACAGAUGCUGUUUCCUUAAAACAACAGCAACCACCUCAAUGAAAUUCCAAAACCUCUAGUAAAACCAGCGAGAAGCACAAGAUGGGGAGAUGCGUGUCACCCGCAUCAGGAAUGAAACGGGUAUCGCUGUGGGUGCUGCAGAUAUUAAAGUAACAAGGGAAUAAUUCAAACAACUUUGUGCUGCUGAUUUGACAACUUGUAAGAGAGGAACUAAUUCUUGAAAUCCACAGACUACCCGCCUCCAUCAAGGUGAAAGAGCCUCAUGACUGUGCAUGAACCUGAAUUCAAGGGUUAACCCCCACCUCCCCCAAGGAAGCUCCAGACCCAGGUGGUUUCCCAGAAGAAUUCUAUUAAGCACUUAAAGAAUGGCCAGUAUUUUCACAUAGUUUCUAUGAAACGAUCAAAGAAAAAUCUCAGAUCUUAGUCUUUGGACUUACCCACAAACUAAGGGCUCGUUCUGAAUGUCACCUUCUGGUUCAGCAGCAACUAUCAACCAACUGGGAAAUCCUGGUUGGAACUACCGGACACUAAGACCACAUCACCCCACUAACCAGGUAGCCACCUUGGGUUUCCUUCCCUUGGUCCUCUGGAACCAGUGCUUAUCCACCAGUUCCACAGUGAGGGGGUGUCAGGGUGACCCUAACAGCCCCCCGGGCACAGCGGGCAUCUCCUGAUGCUAGAAAGCCUGUAACAAUGUCGCUUCCGUUUGAAGCCCUCAUUGGCUGCUGGUUCAGGUGGCGGCUGGUUGGGGUCACAUCUUUUGCUCUGGGCCAACCCCAGAUGAAGAAAGUGAGUCCUCUAGGGCACAGGAAGCUGGAGCCGUCCCCUCAGCUAGGAGACAGGAGUUAGAGAUACUUACUGGAAAGGCCCUAGCCCCAUGGGGGCCAGGGUUAGUUAGACAAUUAUUGACACCUUCAAAACUUGGCAGAGAGCUUCUCACUUCAUGUCGCUUUUUCUUAAAAUCUAUCACCCAUCAAAAUCAUGAAGAGCUGGGUGUGGCUGGUACCUGUAAUCCCAGUGGUUUAGGAGGC